rnacentral:rRNA from 3 species
CGAUGCAUUGAGCUAACCAGUACUAAUGAUCCGUGAGGCUUAACCUUACAACACCGAAGGUGUU